rnacentral:rRNA from 1 species
GAGUUUGAUCCUGGCUCAGGACGAACGCUGGCGGCAUGCCUAAUACAUGCAAGUCGAACGAACUAGUUUACUAGUUAGUGGCGAACGGGUGAGUAACACGUAAGUAAUCAACCUAUUAGACGAGGAUAACUAUUGGAAACGAUAGCUAAUACUGGAUAGGAUAUAAUGCUGAUGGCAAUAUAUUUAAAGAUGCGUUUGCAUCACUAAUAGAUGAGCUUGCGGCGCAUUAGCUAGUUGGUGGGGUAAAGGCCUACCAAGGCGACGAUGCGUAGCCGACCUGAGAGGGUGAUCGGCCACACUGGGACUGAGACACGGCCCAGACUCCUACGGGAGGCAGCAGUAGGGAAUCUUCGGCAAUGGACGAAAGUCUGACCGAGCAAUGCCGCGUGAGUGAAGAAGGUCUUCGGAUUGUAAAGCUCUGUUAUUAGGGAAGAAAGAAAUUAGGAGGAAAUGCCUAAGAAGUGACGGUACCUAAUCAGAAAGCCACGGCUAACUACGUGCCAGCAGCCGCGGUAAUACGUAGGUGGCAAGCGUUGUCCGGAAUUAUUGGGCGUAAAGCGUAUGUAGGCGGUCUAUUAAGUCUGAUUUGAAAGCCCAUGGCUUAACCAUGGAGGGAGAUUGGAAACUGGUAGACUUGUGUGCAGGAGAGGAAGGUGGAAUUCCACGUGUAGCGGUGAAAUGCGUAGAUAUGUGGAGGAACACCAGUGGCGAAGGCGGCCUUCUGGCCUGUAACUGACGCUAAGAUACGAAAGCGUGGGUAGCAAACAGGAUUAGAUACCCUGGUAGUCCACGCCGUANACGAUGAGUACUAAGUGUCGGGGGAGACCUCGGUGCUGAAGUUAACGCAUUAAGUACUCCGCCUGGGAAGUACGGUCGCAAGAC